rnacentral:rRNA from 1 species
UACGUAGGUGGCAAGCGUUAUCCGGAAUUAUUGGGCGUAAAGCGCGCGCAGGCGGCCAUGUAGGUCCGGUGUGAAAACUCGAGGCUUAACCUCGAGAUGUCAUCGGAAACCAUUUGGCUAGAGUCCGGAAGAGGAGAGUGGAAUUCCUGGUGUAGCGGUGAAAUGCGCAGAUAUCAGGAAGAACACCAAUGGCGAAAGCAGCUCUCUGGGACGGUACUGACGCUGAGACGCGAAAGCGUGGGGAGCGAACAGG